AAAAGCGGAGGAAAAGAAACUAACAAGGAUUCCCCUAGUAAUGGCGAAUGAAGAGGGAAAAGCCCAAAUUUGUAAUCUGGCUCUUUCAGAGUCCGAGUUGUAAUUUUAAGAACUGUUUUCAGUGCUGGACCAUGUACAAGUCUGUUGAAAAGCAGCAUCAUAGAAGGUGAUAAUCCUGUUCAUGAUAUGGACUACCAGUGCAAUAUGAUACAGUCUCUAAGAGUCGAGUUGUUUGGGAAUGCAGCUCAAAGUGGGUGGUAAAUUCCAUCUAAGGCUAAAUAUUGAUGAGAGACCGAUAGCAAACAAGUACCGUGAGGGAAAGAUGAAAAGAACUUUGGAAAGAGAGUUAACAGUACGUGAAAUUGUUAAAAGGGAAACAAUUGAAGUUAGACUUGUUAUUAUUAGUUCAACCUUUUCUAAGGGGGUAUUCUAAUGAUUAACAGACCAACAUCAAUUUUUGGGUGUUGGAGAAGGGUUUAAGGAAAUGUAGCAGUUUUUGACUGUGUUAUAGUCCUGAGCUUUGAUACAAUGCUUAAGAUUGAGGAAUGCAGUAAGCCCUUUCUUUUUUUGGGUGGAACAAAUUAUUGUUCUUCUUACUGAGGAUGUUGGUGCAAUAGCUUUAAAUGACCCGUCUUAA
rnacentral:rRNA from 1 species